GGAAGUUGUACUUCUCUGAAGUUGUCAGUGGUUGUUGGAAGCAAACACCUCUCUGGGUUCAGUAAGGAAGUAUGUCCAAGAUGUUAUCAUGUCCAGAUCCACAAACCAGUCUUGGAUUUGUCACACUGAGUGACAGAAUAAGGGGCUGCUUGUAUGAUCGAGGAAAUGCAGAUCUCAUCCUCUCUCUGUGUCAGCUUGGAAAAGCAUUUCUCAGGUGCAUUCAAACUGGGAGCAGUGUCCCAUCUGGAACUUCUCAGCAUAGAAUCACACAUGGGAUGGUCCAGGUUGGAAGGGACCUCAAAGAUCAUGAAUGUC